GACCCCGUAACUUAGGGAUAAGGGGUGCCACCAUCCGGUGGCCGCAGAGAAUAGGCCCAAGCGACUGUUUACCAAAAACAUAGGUUUCUGCUAAGUCGCAAGACGAUGUAUAGGAGCUGACGCCUGCACGGUGCUGGAAGGUUAAGGGGAUCUGUUAGAGCAAUCGAAGCAGUGAACUUAAGCCCCAGUAAACGGCGGCCGUAACUAUAACGGUCCUAAGGUAGCGAAAUUCCUUGUCGGGUAAGUUCCGACCCGCACGAAAGGCGUAA
rnacentral:rRNA from 1 species